UGAGGAACAGGGAGCAGGAGGGAGAGGGAGCAGGAGGGGGAGCGAGCAGGGAAGUGAUCAGCUGGAGGGAGAGAUCACAGCGAUGGGCAUCACAAGGGGGCGCGCGCGCUCCGCCCGGGGAUCUCUUUCCCGAACCUCCACACAAAGAUCCCCCGUAUAGCCGACCAGGCAAGUGCUGUUAGCAAGCACCUAUUAGGUACGACAGAAAGAGUCGGUGUGGUCAGAACCUCGCCCGAUCGCCUUCGUUCCUCGGCAGCUGAUAAUUUAGAUACGCAUGUAAGGCUGAGUCGACUUAGUGAUUGGCAACCAUCACAUCAAUCGACCAAUACGUAACCAAAGCAAUCAAUACUUCAAUCAACCACUCAAUCUGCCAUUCAACCAAGCAAACUUAACAGGUGACAGGUGAGACGCGGACAGGUACGCCUGGACACCUGUCGCUCCGCCCCCCAAGGGCGAGCGGGACAAACAGCGCUGCAGUGCCACUCGCGCCGUAUCGAGGUGAGCUGCGCGUCGAUCGCGAUCAGUGUACGAGACGUGAAUGGAGCGACCCUGCUGACGUGACACCCGAACGUCGGAAAUGGGCGAGAGUUUUGCGUUAAACCAAUACAGAUGGGGGAGGCUGUCGUCCGUGCAUGUGAGGUUGUGGACUAAAUCCAGGUGCCAGGUUGUGGAUUAAACCAUGUGCGAGGUUGUGGAUUAAGCCAUGUGCGAAGUUGUGGAUUAAACCAUGUGCGAGGUUGUGAAUUAAACCAUGUGCCAGGUUGUAAAUUUAAAACAUGUGCGAGGUUGUGGAUUAAACCAUGUGCCAGGUUGUGGAUUAAACCAUGUGCGAGGUUGUGGAUUAAACCAUGUGCGAGGUUGUGGAUUAAACCAUGUGCGAGGUUGUGGAUUAAACCAUGUUGGAACUUGUGAAUUAAACCAUGUGCGAGGUUGUGGAUUAAACCAUGUGCGAGGUUUUGGAUUAAACCAUGUGCGAGGCGAAUAAUUCGUUCGUCCUGGAACCCACACCAAUCCUGAACCCACACCGAUCGUGGACCCAGACGAACCUUGAACCCACACCAAUCCUGGACCCACUCUCCACAGCCGGAGCGGGAGUCGCGAUGUCCCCGUUCCACUCUAAGGCCCGCUAGUUCGCGGGGUCAUGCGGGGUCCCAUUUUGGUUAAUGUUUACCCCUGCAUGGGUCACGUGCUCGGGCAAUCAUUAACCCAGUCUGGGUCCCCUUUGCCGUGGUCAAUAUCAGGUGACAUACCCUCUCCCUGUUGG